rnacentral:rRNA from 1 species
UUCCGGUUGACCCCGCCGGACCCGACUGCUAUCAGAGUGGGACUAAGCCAUGCGAGUCGACGUAGCAAUGCGUGGCGAACGGCUCAGUAACACGUAGUCAACAUGCCCAGGGGACGUGGAUAACCUCGGGAAACUGAGAAUAAACCACGAUAGGUCACGAUUUCUGGAAUGGAUCAUGGCCUAAAUCUACAUGGCCCCUGGAUUGGACUGCGGCCGAUCAGGCAGUUGGUGAGGUAAUGGCCCACCAAACCUAUAACCGGUACGGGCUCUGAGAGGAGAAGCCCGGAGAUGGGCACUGAGACAAGGGCCCAGGCCCUAUGGGGCGCAGCAGGCGCGAAACCUCUGCAAUAGGCGAAAGCCUGACAGGGUUACUCUGAGUGAUUUCCGCUAAGGGGAUCUUUUGGCACCUCUAAAAAUGGUGCAGAAUAAGGGGUGGGCAAGUCUGGUGUCAGCCGCCGCGGUAAUACCAGCACCCCGAGUGGUCGGGACGAUUAUUGGGCCUAAAGCAUCCGUAGCCGGUUCUGCAAGUCUUCCGUUAAAUCCAGCCGCUCAACGGAUGGGCCGCGGAGGAUACUACAGGACUAGGAGGCGGGAGAGGCAAGCGGUACUCAGUGGGUAGGGGUAAAAUCCUUUGAUCCAUUGAGACCACCAGUGGCGAAGGCGGCUUGCCAGAACGCGCUCGACGGUGAGGGAUGAAAGCUGGGGGAGCAAACCGGAUUAGAUACCCGGGUAGUCCCAG